rnacentral:tRNA from 1 species
AGAGAUGUAGUUCAGAGAUAAAGAACUUAGUUUGCACUCGGAGAAUCCCAUGUUCAACUCCUGGCAUCUCUG